GGAUUGUAGCUCAGUGGUAGAGUGCUUGCCUAACAUGGGCAAAACUGCUUCAAUCCCCAGCACCAUGAAAAAAAGAAAGAUGAUCAGAUCAACAGGCCUAAGAGAUACUUCCAGUGAGCUGGGUAUAAUAAGUGAGCAAAUAAAAAGAUAAUAUCACUGGGCUGGGGAUGUGGCUCAAGCAGUAGCGUGCUCGCCUGGCAUGCAUGUGGCCCGGGUUCGAUCCUCAGCACCA
rnacentral:tRNA from 1 species